AUCGCUUCUCAGCCUUCUGGCUAAGAUCAAGUGUAGUAACAGUUGUACCUGUUUUCACCUUUUUAUAAUGAUCCAAUUACCCUCA
ensembl:snRNA U2 U2 spliceosomal RNA